UACGAAGGGGGCUAGCGUUGUUCGGAAUUACUGGGCGUAAAGCGUGCGCAGGCGGUUUCUCAAGUCAGGGGUGAAAGCCCAGAGCUCAACUCUGGAAUUGCCUUUGAAACUGUGAAACUCGAGUGCGGGAGAGGUGAGUGGAAUUCCCAGUGUAGAGGUGAAAUUCGUAGAUAUUGGGAAGAACACCGGUGGCGAAGGCGGCUCACUGGCCCGUUUCUGACGCUCAUGCACGACAGCGUGGGGAUCAAACAGG
rnacentral:rRNA from 1 species